rnacentral:sRNA from 1 species
GUGAAUCAUCCAUUUGUACCGUAGACAGUAGGAGUGCUUAGUCACUUAAUAUCCUACCGAGGACAACGGAAUUCAGAUUCUUUUUAAGAUGAUGAUAUUCUGCCUCUAUGUCUGCUCUAGAUAUAGAGGCUUUUUUCGGUAUAA